rnacentral:rRNA from 1 species
GGGGUAACGGAAGUAGCUUGCUACUAGACGACGACCGGCGCACGGGUGAGUAACGCGUAUGUAAUCUGCCUUGUACAGAGGGAUAGCCCAGAGAAAUUUGGAUUAAUACCUCAUAGUAUUACUGGAUCGCAUGAUUUGGUAAUUAAAGCUCCGGCGGUACAAGAUGAACAUGCGUGACAUUAGCUAGUUGGUAAGGUAACGGCUUACCAAGGCUACGAUGUCUAGGGGUUCUGAGAGGAUGAUCCCCCACACUGGUACUGAGACACGGACCAGACUCCUACGGGAGGCAGCAGUGAGGAAUAUUGGUCAAUGGACGCAAGUCUGAACCAGCCAUCCCGCGUGAAGGAUGACUGCCCUAUGGGUUGUAAACUUCUUUUAUAUGCAAAUAAACCUACUUUCGUGAAAGUAGCUGAAGGUAGCAUAUGAAUAAACACCGGCUAACUCCGUGCCAGCAGCCGCGGUAAUACGGAGGGUGUAAGCGUUAUCCGGAU